AAUCAACGCUGGCGGCGUGCCUAACACAUGCAAGUCGAACGCGAAAAGGGCUUCGGCUCUGAGUAGAGUGGCGUCCGGGUGAGUAACGCGUGGGUAAUCUACCUUUGGGUGGGGAAUAACUAGUCGAAAGGCUAGCUAAUACCGCAUAAUGCAAUUUUCUAUUAGGGAAUUGUUAAAGCAGUAAUGUGCCUAAAGAUGAGCCUGCGUCUGAUUAGUUUGUUGGUAGGGUAAUGGCCUACCAAGACUACUAUCAGUAGCUGGUCUGAGAGGACGGCCAGCCACAAUGGCACUGAAACACGGGCCAUACUCCUACGGGAGGCAGCAGUGGGGAAUUUUGCGCAAUGAGCGAAAGCUUGACGCAGCAACGCCGCGUGAAGGAUGAAAUCCUUCGGGAUGUAAACUUCGCAAGUAUGGGAAGAAAAAAUAGACGGUACCAUAUGUAA
rnacentral:rRNA from 1 species